rnacentral:rRNA from 1 species
AUUGAACGCUGGCGGCAUGCCUUACACAUGCAAGUCGAACGGCAGCAUAGGAGCUUGCUCCUGAUGGCGAGUGGCGAACGGGUGAGUAAUAUAUCGGAACGUGCCCUAGAGUGGGGGAUAACUAGUCGAAAGACUAGCUAAUACCGCAUACGAUCUACGGAUGAAAGUGGGGGAUCGCAAGACCUCAUGCUCCUGGAGCGGCCGAUAUCUGAUUGGCUAGUUGGUGGGGUAAAAGCCUACCAAGGCAACGAUCAGUAGCUGGUCUGAGAGGACGAACAGCCACACUGGGACUGAGACACGGCCCAGACUCCUACGGGAGGCAGCAGUGGGGAAUUUUGGACAAUGGGGGCAACCCUGAUCCAGCAAUGCCGCGUGAGUGAAGAAGGCCUUCGGGUUGUAAAGCUCUUUUGUCAGGGAAGAAACGGUAGUAGCGAAUAACUACUACUAAUGACGGUACCUGAAGAAUAAGCACCGGCUAACUACGUGCCAGCCGCCGCAGUAA